GUGAAAUCAAAGCACACCUGACAUCUUUGCUCUAAUUCCUCACUACUGUCUGAUGAUUAUGGCUAAACACGAGAUGACUGAUCCUAUUUACAGUAAUGCUGCUCCACUUUCUGAAGAGAGGCUGGAGGCUACACAUGGAUGUAAGACAUCCAGCAGCAGGAGGAGGAGUGAUUGUGUCAGUGUCCAGGUUCUUCUUUCUGUUCUCCUCUUCCUGUCUCUGCUGGUUAAUGGUGUAUUGUUAUACCUGUAUUACAGCAAUGGCACAAAUCAUUUAAUGGGAUGUGGGCAAGAAACAAACUACUCAAAUCCAGGUGGCUAAAAUCCACAUGACUUCUACCUGGUUCCCCCUGAGAAUAACCAGAAUGAAGACUUCACAUUAAUAGCGGUUAAACACUGAUGAAUCAUUUUCAACAAUGUCUUCUGAUUCUACUAGUUUCAGUGAUAUUAUCUCAGUUCUUCUUGCUUAUUAAUGCAUCUCAUUUCAGUCGACUAGAAUUCACUUUUGUUACAUCUAAAUGUACUUUAUUCAUUGUGUAUGAUAUUUUUGGUUUCCCUUUCUUUAC